rnacentral:rRNA from 1 species
UGCAAGUCGAGCGAACAGACGAGGAGCUUGCUCCUUUGACGUUAGCGGCGGACGGGUGAGUAACACGUAGGUAACCUACCUAUAAGACUGGGAUAACUUCGGGAAACCGGAGCUAAUACCGGAUAAUAUUUCGAACCGCAUGGUUCGAUAGUGAAAGAUGGCUUUGCUAUCACUUAUAGAUGGACCUGCGCCGUAUUAGCUAGUUGGUAAGGUAACGGCUUACCAAGGCAACGAUACGUAGCCGACCUGAGAGGGUGAUCGGCCACACUGGAACUGAGACACGGUCCAGACUCCUACGGGAGGCAGCAGUAGGGAAUCUUCCGCAAUGGGCGAAAGCCUGACGGAGCAACGCCGCGUGAGUGAUGAAGGUCUUCGGAUCGUAAAACUCUGUUAUUAGGGAAGAACAAACGUGUAAGUAACUGUGCACGUCUUGACGGUACCUAAUCAGAAAGCCACGGCUAACUACGUGCCAGCAGCCGCGGUAAUACGUAGGUGGCAAGCGUUAUCCGGAAUUAUUGGGCGUAAAGCGCGCGUAGGCGGUUUUUUAAGUCUGAUGUGAAAGCCCACGGCUCAACCGUGGAGGGUCAUUGGAAACUGGAAAACUUGAGUGCAGAAGAGGAAAGUGGAGUUCCAUGUGUAGCGGUGAAAUGCGCAGAGAUAUGGAGGAACACCAGUGGCGAAGGCGACUUUCUGGUCUGUAACUGACGCUGAUGUGCGAAAGCGUGGGGAUCAAACA